rnacentral:rRNA from 1 species
CCUACGGGAGGCAGCAGUGGGGAAUAUUGGACAAUGGGCGAAAGCCUGAUCCAGCAAUGCCGCGUGUGUGAAGAAGGCCUUCGGGUUGUAAAGCACUUUAAGUUGGGAAGAAAAAGCUCUGGCUAAUAUCUAGAGCCUUGACGGUACCAACAGAAUAAGCACCGGCUAACUCUGUGCCAGCAGCCGCGGUAAUACAGAGGGUGCUAGCGUUAAUCGGAUUUACUGGGCGUAAAGCGUGCGUAGGCGGUUUGAUAAGUCGAUUGUGAAAGCCCCGGGCUUAACCUGGGAAUUGCAGUUGAUACUGUCAGACUAGAAAACGGUAGAGGGAGGCGGAACUCCAGGUGUAGCGGUGAAAUGCGUAGAUAUCUGGAAGAACACCGAUGGCGAAGGCAACCUCCUGGGCCUGUUUUGACGCUGAGGCACGAAAGCGUGGGUAGCAAACAGGAUUAGAUACCCUGGUAGUCCACGCCGUAAACGAUGAGAACUUGACGUUGGUUUGCUUAGCAAAUCGGUGUCGUAGCUAACGCGAUAAGUUCUCCGCCUGGGGGAGGACGGCCGCGAAGGUAGUAACGUUACGAAAGAAGUUAGUUAGGCGNGNGAGNGCGACGGACGACGACGAGGGAGGAGG